AUUGCAACUUAAACGAUCUAUUCCCAUCUUGGUCUGGAGAACAAUAAAAUGUUGAGAUUUCUAAACCUGGGAGAUAAGUCAUGAGGGGUCAUUUCCUCUUACCAUCUUAUGUCCACAAUGCUGCAACUAAUAUAGACAUUUCGAAUAAUUGCAUUGAUGGAUUGCUUCAAGAGAAUAUUGGUAACAAUUUUUCCAAUGGAUGGAGUAUGAAUUUAUCAAAGAAUAAUUUUGAGGGUGGCAUUCCUUCAUCAAUUGGUAAUAUGAGAAAUUUGUAUUCGUUAGAUUUGUCUAACAAUAAUUUUAUAGGUGAAAUUCC